rnacentral:misc_RNA from 1 species
AACGCACAUUGCGCCCCUCGGUAUUCCGGGGGGCAUGCCUGUUCGAGCGUCAUUGCAACCCUCAAGCCCCGCUUGGUGUUGAGCCCGUGCCAGCGAUGGCAGGCUCCAAAGUCAAUGGCGGCGCCGCCGGGCCCUGAACGUAGUAGUCUCUUCUCGUUACAGGCGUCCGGUGCGCGCUGGCCGCAGCCUCACCUCUUAUGGUUGACCUCGGAUCAGGUAGGGAUACCCGCUGAACUUAA